AUGGUUGUGUUUUGAUGAUUUAUAGUGGAUAAUGAAUGUUUGAUGUGUUAAAUAUGAGUUUUAUUCAAUGAAUUUCGGUAAAAAUGUCAAAAAGGGGUUAAAUUGUGAAAGUUACAAAUUGGUCAUAAGUGUGUGAAUUAGUGAAAAUUUGGAGUUUCCAUAGAAGAGAAAAAUGUUCAGCAUGUCCUAAACCUUAUAGAAAUUGAAUAAAAAUUAAUUUACGAGCAUUGGGGAAAAAGUGCAAAUAUGCAAAAGUUUAGGGGUCAAAAUGAAAAUUUGUAAAAAUAUGAUUUUUAGACCCAUAUGAAUAUUGUGACUGAUUGGUAGGCUAAAUGUGAUGUUAUAGAUGAUGAAAAUUGAGACUUGGACCUAGAACGGAAAGAAAUCGAUUUAUGGACGAGUAUGUCCUUUUCACAUUUAUGGUAUCGAGAGUUUCCAGGUUAGCUCGGGUUGGAGGCUGUCAGAGAUAUUAUCACCCUAUCGAGUUAACGUUAUCGGAGUAAGUAAACUCAAGUGAUUCGAGUCUAUGGCAUGUAUAGGGUUUUAAUGUGAGUAUGUAAUAUUAUGAUUUAGCCAAAUUCAUUGGCUUGUUAUUAAGGUAGUAUUAGUCAUGUAAAUUGGCCUAUGUCGGCUAAUGACAUUAUGGGCCCAUAUGAUUAUUCUUAUGCAUGUAUGUUAUUAUCUCUUGUGAUGUGGCUUACAACAUGUAUGCCUAGAGAUUGAAUUGAGAUUCAUUGAUGAGCUAGUAACUAAUGCAGGAUUAAGUGAUUGGUAAAUAGUUAAUAAUGCUUCAUGAAUGGUUUGUGAUGUAAUGAUAGUUAUGUCUAGUAUGUGGUAAUGAUAUGGGCAAAUUCUAUAAUAUUUAUUGCAUAAGAAAAUAACUUGAGCAUA